UCCCGGUCCUUCCCCGCCCCUCGGCUCCUCCCAUCGCUGUCCGUGUGUCCCGGGAGACUGCGAGUGCUCCCCCUUAUCGCCCGGCGCAGCCCCGCGGAAGGGCCGCUCCCUGCCCCGCCUGGCGGGGAGACCUUGGUGAAACACACUUUUGGCACCAGCCAGUAGGUACUGCCUGCUUGGAGUUCACUUAAAAAGAAGUGCAAGCUUUAUCCCUUCUGAUGGCAGGGGACAGAAGUGUAGCGCCGAUCCCCAAAUCUUUAGCUCUGAUAGCUUGGAAAAUAUAGAGGACACACUUUUCCUUAGCUCUCCCCGCCACUCCACCACCCCCAAGCUGUUAAAUAGACGUGAAGGGUAAAAUUAGGUUUUAAAAAGUAUCUCUGGGACUGCUGUUGACUUUUGCGUGUCUGGAUCUGACAGUACGGAUCAACUGUUGUACAAAGGAGUAGAUGUCUUCUUUCAUUCCAUCCCAGACACAGUACCUCCAGGGAUGGUGACUCCCCACUUCCUGGGCCAGCCUGCUUCAAUGCUUGACAACCUUUUCUGUGAAGAAAUUGUUCCUGCUGUCUGGAGGAAAAAGUUCUCGAGGAGUAAACAGGAAGGAAUUAACAAACUGGAAUGGAUGCAAACUGGAAGAAGUAAUAGAAAAGUCUGAGGUCAAGAAGUCAGAAGCUGGCACCCUAUUGAUCAAACUGCAACAACCACUGGAGUGAACAGCCCAGCCAUGUCUGAUAACAUGAAGAUUCUUCAAAAAAUUUCAAUGGAAGAAGAAAGAGAUGAAAAAAUAAAACCAGGCUAUUUUCUCUUCCAAUUUCUUUUUCUUCAGCUGGCACUUAAUUUAAAAAGCCUUAAAGGAUCAUAAUUAUCAAGUUGGUCAGAUUCCUAAUUUCACUGUACAUAUGAACAUGUGCCCACCCACUCGGUGACAGAUGAGACAGUGCCAUGUGGGACACACUUCCAAAUCAAAUGGGAUUAGCUAAGGUAUAAAAAAGGUCAAGAAGAGUUCCAGCACUUGUAUUGACUUCACUGCUAUUACAAUUUAUGUGAGCAAAAAGUUUAUUUCAACUUUUUCUGCCUUUCAGCCUUGCAUAUUUUAGCUGCUGUUUUUAAAGUGAAAAUGGGCCCUCUACAAUAUGAGUAUCAUCAGUACUAAUGAGGAUGUUU